CGAGCAGAACCAUAACAGAAAUCAUAUUCGUGUUGUUUGGUGACAAAGUUCGAACUUUAAAAAUAUAUACAAUGUACACAAAUCCAUUCAGCCGAACUCACAGCCAAGUGAGACAAGUUAUUGAUCGUUUCCUGCUCAUCGUCAGUGACAAAAAGAGUGAUAACUGCGGGUUGAAGAGGAACAGUUCUGUUAAAUCUUCAACCUCUUCCUCUAGCACCAGUUCCUCAAUCGGCAGAUCUCGAAGUUCUUCUACCAACGUCCGGAAGCUUGAUCAGUUCAACAAAUGAAGGAUGGUUUCGCCUUGCCUUGGAUUUGUUGACAUUCUAAUUGGGUGUGUUUCAAAUGAAACUAUCGAAUGACAUUCCACGGGCUGUUGGAUGACUCGAAAAUAUCAACAAGUAAUUCUGAUACUGCAGAAAAUCCUCCUAGAAGUGGGAAUGCAAGAAAAACAGAAAACCUCGAUAUGUUUCUUUGAGGUGUUCUACUACUGUUUACUGUACAAACUAGAACAGAAACUUGAUUUUGUAGUACAAUUUCUAACUGUUUUGAAUAAAGCAUAAAAAAAACUGAUGAA